AGGAAAUGGAUUUUGCCCAUGUGGAGGUGGACCAGCUGAAUUCUGCCCAGAGGAACAUGGGCCUGGAUCUGAAGGUGGAGAAUUGUGGAAGCCUGGUAUUUUGGGGUGACCUGCAUCCCAGAAUGUUUCCCUGCUCUCUGCUUGCCUUAUUCCUGAGUGCCCUGCCCAUCACCAACACCACGGAGCUAGAGAAUCCAAACAAAAAGAUGGGAACCCCAAGGUUGGAGCAACCAGGGGACGUGAUCAUUGGAGGCAUCUUUCCGAUUUACAUGACAGAGCCUUCAUCGCCAUUGAAUUUCACCUCUGGACCCAUUAAAGAGAAUUCUGAGGAAAGGCUUCCGUCACUACAACUGGAAAGGAGCAAGGAGCUACCUAGUCCAGCAGGGCAGAAGAUGAGAGCAUUGGCAGGGAGUCUGCUCUACACAGAAACAGAAUUUCAGAAUGAGGAAGAAAGGGGCUGUGAUUUGGAUUCUUAGUGAACAGCUUUGGACAUUACUAAGCCGUUCC
rnacentral:lncRNA from 1 species